UAUUAGCAUGCACCCAUUUACUCUGCUACACAUAUAUGCCGUAUCCGAAAGUAAAAAUAAAUAAAAAGAAAGGGAGAGGUCUCUCACAGGGGAUAAUAGGAUUUGUGAAGCAUCGAGUUUAGUGGAUAGAGAAAGAACAAGUGCUAGACUAGAUUACCUUCCUAAUAAGGAAUAAGAUAUCAAUGAUUCGUGGGUUGAUGUGAGUUACAGUUAUUAUAAGGGGUCGGCGACUGAGGCGUUUUCGCAACCUUCUCUUCCUCAUCAUUUUUGCAUAUAGAUAAAUGUAUAGUAUAUAGAAUGGUGAGAGGGUCCAACUACUGUUCAGAAUGUUUUGAAAUAUGUAUUUGAUAAAUGUUGAUUUUUAAAA